rnacentral:rRNA from 1 species
AGAGCGAACGCUGGCGGCAGGCCUAACACAUGCAAGUCGAACGGACUCUUCGGAGUUAGUGGCGGACGGGUGAGUAACACGUGGGAACGUGCCUUUAGGUUCGGAAUAGCUCCUGGAAACGGGUGGUAAUACCGAAUGUGCCCUUCGGGGGAAAGAUUUAUCGCCUUUAGAGCGGCCCGCGUCUGAUUAGCUUGUUGGUGAGGUAAUGGCUCACCAAGGCUACGAUCAGUAGCUGGUCUAGAGAGGAUGACCAGCCACAUUGGGACUGAGACACGGCCCAAACUCCUACGGGAGGCAGCAGUGGGAAUCUUGCGCAAUGGGCGAAAGCCUGACGCAGCCAUGCCGCGUGUAUGAUGAAGUCUUAGGAUUAGUAAAAUACUUUCACCGGUGAAGAUAAAUGACUGUAGCCGGAAGAAGAAGACCCCGGCUAACUCGUGCCAGCAGCCGAC